rfam:Ictidomys tridecemlineatus contig063844, whole genome shotgun sequence.
GAGGGUAUAGCUCAGUGGUAGAGUGUGUGCUUAGCACGUAUAAGGACUUGGGUUCAACCCCCAAUCUUCUCA